AUGAUGUGGCGAGUUAUCCUACGCAGCAAGGUUAAGUCGAUUGAGACGAAGCCAUAGGGAAACCGAGUCUUAAAAGGGCGUUGAGUUGCGUGGGGUAGACCCGAAGCGCGGCGAGCUAGACAUGGGCAGGUUGAAGCGCGGGUAAAACCGCGUGGAGGACCGAACCGGUGGAAGUUGAAAAUUUCUCGGAUGACCUGUGUCUAGGGGUGAAAGGCCAAUCAAGCCGCGGGAUAGCUGGUUCUCCCCGAAAGAUAUUUAGGUAUCGUCUCGAGUCAUUCAGUCAUGGGGGUAGAGCACUGACAGGGCUAGGGGUCUCACCAGAUUACCAAACCCUAUCAAACUCCGAAUACCAUGAACUGUUACCUCGGGAGGCAGUCAUACCGUGCUAAGGCGGCGUGACGAGAGGGUAAGAGUCCAGACUAACAGCUAAGGUCCCAAAGUUCUGGCUAAGUGGUAAAGGAUGUGGAAACGCUGAGACAACCAGGAGGUCGGCUUAGAAGCAGCCAUCUUUCAAAGAAAGCGUAAUAGCUCACUGGUCAAGUGGGUCCGCGCCGAAAAUUUAACGGGGCUAAGCCAGGCACCGAAGCUUUAGAUUUGGUUCAACUACGUGUUGAGCCAAGUGGUAGGGGAGCAUCGUCAAUGCGGUGAAGGUGGACCGAAAGGACAGCUGGAGCGUUGACGAGAGAUUAUGCCACAAUGAGUAGCGAGAAAAAGAGUGAGAAACUCUUUCGCCGAAAACCCAAGGUUUCCCGGGCCAGGUUAAUCCUCCCGGGGUUAGUCGGAUCCUAAGCGGAGGCCGCAAGGCGUACGUGAUGGAAAGCAGGUUAAUAUUCCUGCACCUGAUAUGAGCGUUGAAGCAAGCGGGGACGGAGAAGGCUAGCUGGGCCACCUAUCGGAUGGUGGUGAGCUCUCGUAGGCUGGGGAUAUACGAAACCAAAGGUAUUCCCAUUAAGGCCAAGGAGAUGGACGAGCUGCGUCUUCGGACAAAGCGAAGUCAGUGAUGCCACGCUUCCAAGAAAAGCCGCGUGUGGAGCAAAAUAUUGGUCCGUACCGUAAACCGACACAGGUGGGUGGGGAGAGAAUCCCAAGGCGCUUGAGAGAACCUAACCUAAGGAACUCUGCAAAUUAACGCCGUAACUUCGGGAUAAGGCGUGCCCCGUUGGUUAGUAGAUUUACUCUACGAAGCUAAACAGGGUUGCAAAUACCAGGCGGUGGCGACUGUUUACCAAAAACACAGCACUCUGCAAAUCCGAAAGGAGACGUAUAGGGUGUGACGCGUGCCCAAUGCUGGAAGGUUAAUGGAAUCCGUUAGAGCAAUCGAAGCGGUGAACUGAAGCCCCAGUGAAUGGCGGCCGUAACGAUAACGGUCCUAAGGUAGCGAAAUUCCUUGUCGGGUAAGUUCCGACCUGCACGAAUCGCGUAACGAUCUCCGCACUGUCUCGGGUUAGGACUCAGCGAAAUUGAGAGCGCUG
rnacentral:rRNA from 1 species